CACCUGCCGGCGACCGGCGCACGGGUGAGUGACACGUAUGGAACCUGCCCGCCACAGGGGGAUAACCCGGGGAAACCCGGCCUAAUACCCCAUGCCGCCCGGACCGGGCAUCCGGUCCGGGCGAAAGGAGGAAUCCGGUGGCGGCUGGGCAUGCGGCGCAUUAGCUUGACGGCGGGGUAACGGCCCACCGUGGCGACGAUGCGUAGGGGUUCUGAGAGGAAGGCCCCCCACACUGGAACUGAGACACGGUCCAGACUCCUACGGAAGGCAGCAG
rnacentral:rRNA from 1 species